rnacentral:ribozyme from 1 species
CCCCUCUAAUGGCUGUCACCUGGACGUGGUGAGGGGGCCCAGUACCAUCAUGUUCACAAAGGCUCAGUUUCUGGGGCCGUGGACAUGGGGGGAAGCUAAGAACAGC